rnacentral:lncRNA from 1 species
UGCAGCGAGGCGCUCCUAGGUGUGCGAAGCAGGCAGUUGAGGGGUGUACCCGCCAGCCAGGACCUGGGCCGCCUGUCCGAUAGGGGGAGGGAGCUGAUCUGGUCGGAAAGAUUUGUUAACCUGAUGGCGGAGAGUAAGGUCAGAAAGGCAAGUGGAGGCCUUGAAUGCGAAGGUCAGGACUGAAGCAACAGUGCAAAGAAAAACAGCCUGAGGCCCACAGAUGGCAGAUGACGCGUAUGUAUAAAAGUCACUUUUAAAUUAGGAAACUUGUCACAACCUUAGUCUGAGUGCAUUCCCUGGCUCCUGGACCCGAGCCCAGCCCGGGUGGCUU